AUACGGAGGGUGCAAGCGUUAUUCGGAAUCACUGGGCGUAAAGGACGCGUAGGCGGGUUGGCAAGUCAGAUGUGAAAUCCUACAGCUUAACUGUAGAACUGCAUUUGAAACUGCUAACCUAGAGUAUGUGAGGGGGAGAUGGAAUUAGUGGUGUAGGGGUAAAAUCCGUAGAUAUCACUAGGAAUACCGAAAGCGAAGGCGAUCUCCUGGAACAUAACUGACGCUAAGGCGUGAAAGCGUGGGGAGCAAACAGAAUUAGAAACCCUAGUAGUCC
rnacentral:rRNA from 1 species